ACGCGCAUUCAUGGAGCUAGGUCUCCUGCUCGCCUUAAAUUCAUUCGUCGAUUUGGGUGUGAAAUGAUGCUGGUCUCGGUAGUAUACAAAUUGACGCGACUCCUUGCUCACUCGCGAUGGGGAUUAGCCGUUUAGGCAACUGCGAUGGUGAUCUGCUAUGUGGAGGAUGGGAGAGGGAGCCUUAUUACUACUUCAUUAAGGGAACUGCGAUGGUGAUCUGCUAUGUGGACUUCUGUAGUUUUUUUAUUACUACUUCUGCUGAGGGUGUUGGAGCUGGAUGUAUGGUUUCCUCAAUGGAGUUGAGUUGAGGAUUCAUCGGAGAGAACGCAGAACAGAUGUGUAUAUGGUUAUUUGGAGAUAUGUACAUCGGCUAAUGUACAUAUGAACAGUUAUUUGGAGAUUUGUGUACUGGCCAAUGCAUGGGUGAACAAAUCGCAGAUCACUUGCUCAGGCA